GUCAAAUUACACAUUGAAAAACACAAAGAAAACAACUAAAAUCAAAACCAAAAAGUUGCUACGGUGGAGCUUUAGCUUGGCUAGGGAGACAGAGUGCCUUGACAGACAGACAGACAGACAGACAGACAGACAGACAUUUGAUCUCACGUCUUUAAAAGCAUAUCGUAGGUGUUUGGGCAUUCCAUUUCCCCUACGGAAGAUUUCCAGUUGAUGUUUGAGGAGGAAGGGCUCAAGGAUAGUGCUGUUGCUCCGGCCCCCCACUCUCACGAUUCCUUUUUUUAGAAAUGUAUGGAUACCUUCAAAUAUCCAAAGAAAGAAAAAGCAAGUGAACAAAACUUAAAGCAGCAUGAAGCCAUUUGUAGAGCGGAACAUGAGCAGAAUAAUGUUGUACUUCUCCCACAGAA